CAGCAGAGAUAAAGGAUUAUCUCUGUCAACAUGAUGCAAUUUACCCCAUCAGAGAAACCCAUCUGCAAAAAAUACAGCACAGAAAGACGCCUUUUAGGGUGAGGCUUCAUUAUCUCUUCAUACAACAGGGAGUUAUGUCUUGUUGAGGAAAACCUACGUAUACCAAAUUCCCACAGCUUGUAGUCCCUGAUAGGGACACAGAUCAUAUACUGCUUGAUGCUCUGGGGAACUUCCUUGGAAAGACUCUGAAAAUGACUCUUUGGACUGAUGUUUCCAGGUCCUGUACGGAUAUCUAGUUAAGACGCAAUGCAGUUUGGGGACAGAGGUAUGUAUUUCUCUUUUAUUCUUAUUUUAGUGGCUAUUCCAUUGGCCUGUAAGGGGGCACUAGUUAUCUGAGAAGGACAUAAAUGUCUAAGGGGAUUUUUUUCCCAUAAAAAAAAAAAAAAUGCUUGACUUUCUAGUAGCAAACUUAAUGGUACAAUUUUAUUUUUAAUUUUUUUAAUGUUUAUUUUUGAGAGAGAGAGCACAAGGGCAUGUGAGGGGGAGGGGCAGAGAGAGAGGGGACAGAGGAUCCAAAGCAGGUUCUGUGCUGAAAGCACAGAGCCUGAUGUGGGAAUCGAACUCACAAACCAUGAGAUCGUGACCUUGAGCUGAAGUCAGACACUUAACCGACUGAGCCACCCGGGGGUUCCUUAAUGUUAUAAUUUUAAAGACCCAUAGAACCUUUUCAGAUUGUGCUUUGAAAUUAUCUCAGCCAUGUAAUCAUUUUCAAAAGAGAGAAAACAAGUGGUCUAAAAAUCAUAUUCUAUCUAGAAUUUGCAACACAGACUACUUUUCCAGUGUUCCCCAAGUCUAGCUAGCUAGUUCUUUUCAUGCUGCAUUAUCCAAUUUUUUGUUACAAAUGAUUACUUUUGAUAUUUUUGGUGAAUAAAAGAACUUUGAUCCAAAAAGGAGAUAUUCUUGAUCUGGAAUGAUCUUAUAAUCUUUACUCUUGCUGAGAAGAAGUAUAUGGCAUUGAGUGGGCAAUCAGUUCUAAAGACUGCUUUGUAAAUCAGGAAUCAUUGAAAAAAUAUUUUUAAAAAUGUUGACUUUACCAUCAUGAACAGUGAGUCACAGUCUGUUCAGAGAAACAUGAUAUUUUUGCUUCAGAUAUGAUUAAUAAUAAGGAACAGGAUUAAAGCUUUUGUAAAAAGCAAAUUAGUGAAGACAGUAUCAUACUAUUUAUAAUGUUACAAGAUGUAAGAAAAAAUACACAUUUAUUUCCAUACUUAACAUAGAUACUCUGUUGGUAAUAACAACAGAGAUGAUCAGUGUGAGAAGACAGUGUUCAGUAACUAUCAUUGAAACAAGGGUAGGAAUAAAGUCAGAAUAUCAUGGAACAAUUCUAUAUAAAAGAUUAUUGGUCUGCAUUAAACACAAAUACUUCUAUUUCCACUUGGAUCCUUAGGCAAAUCUAGUGUCUAAAUACUAGUUUUCUUUGUGCGUGGCUUUUCCCCAUCCAUUUUCCAUUUGAAAGUAAUUAUUCAGGAUGCCCCCCAAUAGUAGAAAAUCUCCCCAAACUCAACUGUUUAAAGCCUAGUGUUGAAUGGAAGCCUUACCAAUAACAUAAACAGUCAAUUAACAAAUAUAUUUUAUGUUACAUGUACUACGUACUACAUUCUUACAGUAAACUAAGGGAAAUGUUACUAAGAAAAUCGUAAGGGAUAGAAAAUACACUUACAGUACUGUACUGUAAAAAUCCACAUUUAAGUGGAUCUGUGUGGCUCAAAACUGUGCCAUUCAAGAGUCAACUUUAUAGUGUUUUUUUUUUUUCUUGGUCAAUCUCCUAAGAAUAAAAGGCAUUAAUUUCUGUAAAAGAACCAUCAGAUUUUAUAGAACUUAAUAAAGGUAGGUAGAAGAAAUAUCAGUUUUAUCACUACUGUUUUAAUAUAUUUUCCUGAUAAGUCUGAACAUACCUGUACACCAUGCAGCUAAAACUUUUUAUAGUGAAUUCUAGAGGUGACGUGAAAUUGUGGCUGCAUGGACCAUAUAUCAAGAUUCCCAUGAUCUCAUUUCGAAAAGAUCUGUACACAAGACAGAGUAUCCAUUGCCGUCAUGAUGAAGAUAGCAAAGAUGAUACUAUUUUUUGUUUAUACUCAGGAUGGUCCCUGUGUUCAAAUAAAGAAAGAUUUCUUGGUGUCAGAGAAGGAAAGCCUUCCGAACGUGAGCAUUUUUGCUUAACAUUUCUGUAAGCAGAUCACGGGUGAAAAAGUGAGGAUUUGGGCUUAGGCAGACACUGUUCCAAGCCACCUAGCUGGCUAUGCCAGUGCGGAGCCAUAUGGUCCCUUCCGGACUUUCUGUGAGUUGUGCCUAGUUUGUAUGGUGACUUAGAGGUAGGAAGAGGAAGCAAACUCGGAGUCUAAGAACACGCAUGCUGCAUUGUGGCUUCUUGAGUCAAAUGCCGUUUGUUCUCAAACUUCAGAAAGAACUUCCUGAACCCAGAGACCAGGCAAUAAUAGCUCUGUCAGAUACUACCUAGGAACAGAGGUGUAAAUGAAAGAAUUCUGCACAGCAAAAUAAGGAAUCAAAGUAACAAAUAUCGUCUCUCCAUGGGGCCGGAACACCAGGACUAGUGGGCGAUAUGUAUUUUCAGCUUCAGGGCUGAGACGGCCAACAUUGUUUCAAGACAGAGGACCCAUAAGACACACGCACCCAAGCUAAGAUUCUCAGCUUCCUAUAACGUAAGCGUACAUUACUUACACAGCCUUCCUGAAACUCAAUAUAAUAGAGAGUAUGUCAAUCUGAACCGCCUGAGGUACAUCGUUAAAUACUUAAUAAGUGUCAGAUUUCCCACCCUUGAGAACUGAAAAAAUUACAAGUGUCCUAAUUUCUUACAUUUAGCACCGUACCUGUCUUUUACUUUAAAAUAUUUAUGUGCGUUAACUAUCGCAUGGAAUCAAAGAGACUAAUCCUUUUACCUGAUCUUUCUGGCCAACACAUGCUCCACUUGUGUUGUGACUCAACACCCCCAGCGGGGUGAGCAACAGGGUUGUGAAGAACAACGGUACCAAGGGACACAACUAUGGAUCUUCAACGAAGAGAUCCAGCCAUCUACCUGGGCCAGUCGGGGCCAAUGCGUCUCCCUCAGGAGGCACAGAGCAAUGUGCAGAAUUUCCUAAAGGGGGAGCCAGUUAUUCUUGGGGUGAGCCAGAUCAUGAUUGGCCUAAUGAAUAUUUGCCUGUGGAUCAUGGUAAAGGUCUUUCUUUCAUUCCACAAACUACAUCUAUUCCUAGAGAACACGGUAUAUACCUUCAUUUUCCUUUUGGGACCAAUCUUUUUAAUUAUAUCUGGAACUAUGUCUAUUGCGUCUGGAAAGAAAACAACAAAAAAAAUGGUGCGUUUACCUACAAUUUCAGAAAAUCAAAAGAGGCAUAGCAUAAAUCAGCCUUCAUUUCCUGGGGUGCCUAGGUAGGUCAGUUGGUUAAGCA